CUGCAGCAGGUUUGAGUUGAGCGCAGCGAAACAACGGAGCCGCUCGCGGCGACGGCCCGAAGGGCGAGCGAAGCGAGUCAUCCUGCACGACCCACCA
rnacentral:sRNA from 2 species